rnacentral:rRNA from 1 species
UGGGGAAUAUUGCACAAUGGGCGCAAGCCUGAUGCAGCCAUGCCGCGUGUAUGAAGUAGGCUUUCGGGUUGUAAAGUACUUUCAGUCGGGAGGAAGGUGGUAAGGUUAAUAACCUUAUCAAUUGACGUUACCGACAGAAGAAGCACCGGCUAACUCCGUGCCAGCAGCCGCGGUAAUACGGAGGGUGCAAGCGUUAAUCGGAAUUACUGGGCGUAAAGCGCACGCAGGCGGUUGAUUGAGUCAGAUGUGAAAUCCCCGGGCUUAACCCGGGAAUUGCAUCUGAUACUGGUCAGCUAGAGUCUUGUAGAGGGGGGUAGAAUUCCAUGUGUAGCGGUGAAAUGCGUAGAGAUGUGGAGGAAUACCGGUGGCGAAGGCGGCCCCCUGGACAAAGACUGACGCUCAGGUGCGAAAGCGUGGGGAGCAAACAGG